GUCAUUAUUAGGCUCAUAUUAUCACAUAACACUGUUUUUGUGGUCUCAUACAUGUAUGUAAGGGUCUAAGGAGCAUAUUGAAAAUCUUGCACUUCAAAAGCAAUCAUUGUUUUACCAAUAUAACAUGUACUUGAUGUUAUGCACAUUAUAUUUCCCACUGGACAUCCAUCAUACGUCAUAUCAUACAUGAUUCUACAACUCGUGCUGUAGAUACUUAACUUUAUAGAAAAACUUUAUAUUUA
rnacentral:lncRNA from 1 species